UCAGAGUUUGAUCCUGGCUCAGGACGAACGCUGGCGGCGUGCCUAAUACAUGCAAGUCGAGCGGAGUUGAUGAGGUGCUUGCACCUCUGAUACUUAGCGGCGGACGGGUGAGUAACACGUGGGUAACCUGCCUGUAAGACUGGGAUAACAUUCGGAAACGAAUGCUAAUACCGGAUACGCGAUUUGGUCGCAUGACCGAAUCGGGAAAGAUGGAGCAAUCUAUCACUUACAGAUGGACCCGCGGCGCAUUAGCUAGUUGGUGAGGUAACGGCUCACCAAGGCGACGAUGCGUAGCCGACCUGAGAGGGUGAUCGGCCACACUGGGACUGAGACACGGCCCAGACUCCUACGGGAGGCAGCAGUAGGGAAUCUUCCGCAAUGGACGAAAGUCUGACGGAGCAACGCCGCGUGAGUGAUGAAGGUUUUCGGAUCGUAAAGCUCUGUUGCCAGGGAAGAAUGCUUGGGAGAGUAACUGCUCUCAAGGUGACGGUACCUGAGAAGAAAGCCCCGGCUAACUACGUGCCAGCAGCCGCGGUAAUACGUAGGGGGCAAGCGUUGUCCGGAAUUAUUG
rnacentral:rRNA from 1 species